rnacentral:lncRNA from 1 species
GGGCCGCACCUGCAGCACGUGGAGGUUAUCAGGCUCGGAGCCGAAUAGGAGCUGAAGCUGCCGGCCUAUGCCACAGUCACAGGAAUGCUAGAUCUGAGCCACACCUGUGACCUACACUGCAGCUUGUGGCAAUGCUGGGUCCUUAACCCACUGAGUAAGGCCAGAGAUCAAACCCGUAUCCUCACGGACACUAUGUCGAGUUCUCAACCCACUGAGCCACAAUGGGAAUUCCUCCCACCUAAACACCAUCGGUCACUUCAUUUCAUUUCAUGUUCUGAAAACUGGUAAGUAAAGGGCGGGGGGUGGGGGGAAUCUCACAUUUUUUUCUGCAUUUCCUCUUUGGAUUAUAUUUCAGGGAAACCAAACAGUUGAUGAUUUAUUAGAAUAAUUAUCAUCAUUAUUAUUAUGAAAAGGAUCAGACUGAUACCACCUAAACCCACUGAUUUUCAAUGAAACUGGAACAAAUGAAGGGCCUGUGAUGCCUGAUAUGCAGCAAUAACAAGUACACCUGUGAAGCAUUCCUGCCAAAUUGAUCUAAACCCACUUUAUUCUCUAAUUUGAAUAGAUUACAGGAAUUAUUUUGGGGGAAAAGAGGAACAUGUGGAAUGCUACUGCCAGGAUAAAUCAUCCAAAUUUAAAAUGUAGGAGAUCUUUUAGGACAAACAACCCAGUUUCUUCAACAAUUAAGUAGCAUGGAGGAAAAACUCUAAAGGAAGAAGAGAGUGUGCUUACAGAGAAGAUUAAGAGAAUGAAGAUUGAUGUCAACCAAAUGCAUUGUGUGGACCUUGUUCAUAUCCUGACUCACACAAACCAACUGUGAAAAACACAAUUUUUAGCCAAACUGGAGAUGGACUGUGAGAUAUGUUAUUAAGGAAUUAUUAUCUUAUUUUGUUUGGUGCAAUAACUGUGUGUGUUUUUAAAGGCCUUCUCAGAGACACAUAUUAAAGUAUUUAUGAGUGACACGGUACUAGGAUCUGCUUUAAAAUACUAUAGCCAACCACACAACCACAACAAAAAGUGUGAUAUAAAGGGGUUGGAGAUAAAACAAGAAUGGCAAAAGUUGACAGUCGUUAAAACUGGGGAUGGGUAUGUGGAGUUCCUACUUUAGUUAGGAUACGUUUGAAAAAUCUCCAUUAAUAAGAAAACCUCGCCAAAUGCUUCUCUGGAAAUACAGCUUUUUCUCAUUAUCACUACAUAUCAAUACAAUGAAGAGUAGGCCGGGGACAGAGAUGGGGAUAAUUAAUUUUGUAGAAGGCUUGGAAAUGCAUGGACAGGAAAAGCUUUAGCAAGGGGGGGAGUUUUCAUGUCAUGAAUGUUUAUUUCCAUCGUUAAAUUCCUUGGAUGAGGAACAAAUUACACAUGACCAAUCAAAAGCAGAUUACAUAUUUUUUAAAGUCUACCAAACCUAACUCAGGUUAAGCCUAAUAAUAAGGAGCUGCUGCCUUCCAAUCUUUCUUAAUUAUUUAAGAAAUCAUACUGACAAAUCUAAGAGCACAAUUUUCAGUUUAUUCAUAAAAUUGCUAUGAGGGAAGCUCUCUCACUCAACAUUUUGCUUCUAUAAAAUUCUCUGGGAGGUAGAAAGAAUGAGUUGGUUAGGCAUUUACAGAAUCUUCUCAGAAGAAGGUUUAGGGUUGAUAAACCCUAACUUUAAGGUCUAGGCCAAAAAGGAAUAGCUUAAUCUAAAGUUCACUAAUCCAGCUAAAUUUCAGCUAGUUUGCUCUCACACCAGCAAUAACUGUGUAUACAAAUGACUAAUCCUAUUUCACUUUGAUCACAGAUGUCAGUUUAUCCAAUUUAAAACAAAUUAAGGGAGUGCCCAUUGUGGCGCAGCGGAAACCAAUUGAUUAGUAUCCAUGAGGAUUGGGUUUGAUCCCUGGCCUCCCUCAGCGGGUUGAGGAUCUAGGGUUGAGUUGCUGUAGCUUCUACAGCAACGUGGGAUCUGAGCAGAGUCCACGACCUACACCACAGCUCAUAGCAACACCGAAUCCCUGACCUGCUGCCAGGGGUCGAACCAGCAUCCUUAUGGACACCAGUCAGAUCCAUUUCCACUGAGCCAAAAUGGGAACUUUUUUUUUGUUUUUGUUUUGCUUUUUAGGGCCAGGCCUGCAGCAUAUGGAAGUCCCCGGGCUAAGGGUUGAAUGGGAGCUACAGCUGCCAGCCUACACCACAGCUCACCACAACUAUCUUUUUCAUUUGUUUUAUUUAUCUUUAUUGGCAUUCAAACCAAUAAAGAAGUGAAGUGAAAAGAAGCAUUUUAUAGAUGCUAGACCACUGGCCUUAAAAUCAGAAGGUCAGAGUUCUAAAUCAGUUUCAUCAACUAGUUCUUACUGCCUGCCCAUUAUAUAAUCCUCUACUUGCAGAUAAUACACACCAAGAGAAAUCAACCAAUCUUCCUUAGAAAAACCCCUUCCUGCUCCUUCAGGCACUAAAGUUUGCUCAUCAACAGCUUAAUUGUGCUCUGUGUAGAGAGCUUUACAAUUAUGGAGUACUUUUUAUCCCCCCAAGACCUUAAAAAGAGAGCUAGGUGGGAAAUCAGGAACAGACUCUUUCAAUAUAGCAGAGAUUUUCAGGUAGAUUAGUUAGAAUUUACUACCUCUAUCAAUGGUUCUCAAUGUGUGGUCUCUGGACCAACCACAUCAAUAUCACUCUGGGAACAUAUCAGACAUACACAUUCUCAGGUCUCCAUCCCAGAUCUACUCAAUCAGAAACUCGGAGAGAGUGGGCCCAAGAAUUUAUGUUUUAACAAGCCCUUCAGGUGAUCUGAGGCACGCUAAAAGGUUGAGAAGCACUAACCUAUAUUACCAGGCUCUUUGAUUUUGUCUCCAGCUAUCUGCAGUUAUAAUUCAUUACUAAAAGAGGAUGCAGGGUUUUAUUAAAAUUAUGAUCAUAAAGCAUAUUUCUUACCCUGAAGCUAAAAGUAGGAGAGACUAUCUUCUCUAUGAGCAACAAAGAGAGAAAUUAAAAUUGAAGUAAGGAUUAGAGUUUUUACCAAAACUUUAGUUCUAUCUUUAGUGACAUGCAUUGUGCUUAGUGUUAAGGUUAUAAUGCAAUCCUUAACACCUUGAGAAUCUGGCAGAAGCUAGACUGGACAAUAAAUAAUUAUUAAGUAAUGUCAUAUGAGCUAUAAGAGGAGUAUACAAGACAUUACAAGGACAGAAAUAGGGAUAAAUAAUUCUGUAGACGAUCCGGGCUGGAUGGACAGAAAAAGCUUUGGAAAAGGAGUGAUAUUUGAAUUGAAUUGUAUUUAUUUAUUAAAUAAACAACAGAACCUCCAGGGCCAGGGACCCAAACAGAGUCAUGGCAGUGACAAUGCUGGAUCCUUGACCUGUUGUAUCACCAGGGGACUUAUAAACUGAACCUUUAGGAAUGUAUUAUUUAGGAACACCUCAGCAAGCUAAAAACAGCUUUUUAAACACUUUCCACCAGGCUACUGGUAUAAAAUGCAAGUGAACAUUAUGAAAUAAAUCGGAAAAAAAAAGCCCUAACUACCCUCUCAGUUCCCAGUACUGUUUGGAAUUUCUUGUAGAUACCAAUGUAGUAUAAGACAUGGCCCUGCUUUUAAGAAAUUAAACCACAAAUAAUGAACUUGAUCUAUUCAAAAUUUGGCAGAAACCAAACCAAUAAUAACUAUUUACUGUAUUUUGUUAACCAAAAAGCUGUGACAGUCAACAACCAAACCACAAUAGAGUCAAGAGACUUGCUCUUUUUUUUUUUUUUUAGGGCUGCACCUGCGGCAUAUGGCAGUUCCUAGGCUACGGGUCAAAUUGAAGCUGCAGCUGCCGGCCACAGCAACAGCCAGAGCAACACUGGAGCGAAGCCACAUCUGUGACCUACGUCACAGCUUGCAGCAACACCAAAUCCUUAACCCAUGGUUAGGAGUUGAACUCUCAUCCUCAUGGACACUAUGUCAGGUUCUUAAUCUGCUGAGCCACACAAUGGGAACUCCCAUGCUUUUAUUUUAAAAGUUUAUUUUACUUUAUUUAUUUAUUUAUUUUUGCUAUUUCUUGGGCCGCUCGUGCGGCAUAUGGAGGUUCCCAGGCUAAGGGGGUCGAAUCGGAGCUGUAGCCACCGGCCUACGCCACAGCCACAGCAAUGGGGGAUCCUGCAACUUACACCACAGCUCACAGCAAUGCUGGAUCCUUAACCCACUGAGCAAGGCCAGGGAUUGAACCCGCAUCCUCAUGGAUGCUAGUCAGGUUCGUUAACCACUGAGCCACGAUGGGAACUCCU